GCGAGCUGGAGGACACCUCACUCUUUUCUUUCCUCCAAAGAGGAAAGAAAAGGGAGGAAACACCGCCCACCGUGCGGAGCCCGGCUCCCGAAAGGGAGGUGCCGAGAGGCACGGCUCUGGAGCAGAAACGACAUUCCUUUGAAGGUGAUAAUCUAUGAUGGCGAAAGCCUGAGAGCCUUCAAGGGAAGUGAAACGAGCCAUCCCCGGGGGUGCAAGCCCAAACAACUGCCAAUGAGUUCCGCGGGAGGCAGGUGGUAGGGCGCUUAGACGAAUGGUGUCAUUCGAGUAUCCGCAAGGAUACUCGAAGAACAGAAGGCGGGUUACUCCCAGCACGC
rnacentral:RNase_P_RNA from 1 species